UUCCUUUAAUCGUCAAGCCGGAGCCCCACGGAGGCUAAUGCAAGAGGCCAAAAAUGUUUUGAAGGAAGAAAAACAAAGGCAGGAAGUAGCGGCUGCCUGACGGUGCGUGUGUGUCUGCGGAGAAGGGAGGCAGGACCUUUCAAUCUCUUCUAGCUGUUUUUCCAAACUCGAAGGUCUAGGCGG
rfam:Procavia capensis cont1.101202, whole genome shotgun sequence.